CUUUGCGAAUAUUGAAAAAACGCCAAUCCACGAAGCCGACUGAUACCAACUUAUUUUCGGAAAACGGGAAGCUUUGGCAGGAGAUCGAUGCUGUCAUGUAUUUGGCAUCUGUCAUAAUCGCUGUUUGCAUUGCUUCAAGCGCUCUAGCAAGAUUUUCACCUAGGAGACCCCCAUGUAUUCGUUCAUAUGGCUGCGUAGCACCUACACACUGCCCUGCAAAACGCAUUACACCGUUUCGAAGUGGCUGCAAAGGAACAUCAGUUUGCUGCAACCUGCGAAAACGUGAUACGUGCACCAUGGUUGGAGGAACUUGUGAACGGAAAUGUGACUUUGAAAAUACUCAAGCUGGAUGUCCUGGUCGGAGGAGGUGCUGUAUCAAUUUGGAUCGCUGAGGUGCUUUCUAUACAGCUAUGCUGCAUGUAACACGACCUAUUGAUUCCGGCGAUCUCCUGAGUUUGCUUUUGAAAUAAAAAACUAGCCUAAUGCAAGUCCUAUUCAACUCGCAGUGGCUAUGCUAGUAGCAAUUUGAA